rnacentral:rRNA from 1 species
UACGUAGGGGGCUAGCGUUGUCCGGAAUCACUAGGCGUAAAGCGCAGGUAGGCGGCUUGAUAAGUCUGUUGUGAAAGCUCCUGGCUUAACUGGGAGAGGUCAACGGAAACUGUCAGGAUAGAGUGUGGUAGGGGAAACUGGAAUUCCCGGUGUAGCGGUGAAAUGCGUAGAUAUCGGGAGGAAUACCUAUGGCGAAAGCAGGUUUCUGGGCUACCACUGACGCUGAUCUGCGAAAGCUAGGGGAGCAAACAGGAUUAAGAAACCCU